rnacentral:sRNA from 1 species
GGGCCAGAACCGCGAUCUCCGCAACCUUGAGCGGUAUCCGUGGAGUGCGCCUGCGCAGCUAAGACCACAGCAGGAAAGCGCCGCCGGCCAGGCCCAGCUGUGGCCGGACAGCGACUGGAAGAGAGGACGCGGUCGAGAAGAAGGAUGGAGGAGAGCAGUGUGGGAGAAGAACAUGAAGAUGAUUGAACUGCACAAUCAGGAAUACCGGGAAGGGAAACACAGCUUCACAAUGGCCAUGAACGCCUUUGGAGACAUGACCAGUGAAGAAUUCAGGCAGGUGAUGAAUGGCUUUCAAAACCGUAAGCCCAGGAAGGGGAAAGUGUUCCAGGAACCUCUGUUUUAUGAGGCCCCUAGAUCUGUGGAUUGGAGAGAGAAAGGCUACGUGACUCCUGUGAAGAAUCAGGGUCAGUGUGGUUCUUGUUGGGCUUUUAGCGCUACUGGUGCUCUUGAAGGACAGAUGUUCCGGAAAACUGGGAAGCUUAUCUCACUGAGUGAGCAGAAUCUGGUAGACUGCUCUGGGCCUCAAGGCAAUGAGGGCUGCAAUGGUGGCCUAAUGGAUUAUGCCUUCCAGUAUGUUCAGGAUAAUGGAGGCCUGGACUCUGAGGAAUCCUAUCCAUAUGAGGCAACAGAAGAAUCCUGUAAGUACAAUCCCAAGUAUUCUGUUGCUAAUGACACCGGCUUUGUGGACAUCCCUAAGCAGGAGAAGGCCCUGAUGAAGGCAGUUGCAACUGUGGGGCCCAUUUCUGUUGCUAUUGAUGCAGGUCAUGAGUCCUUCCUGUUCUAUAAAGAAGGCAUUUAUUUUGAGCCAGACUGUAGCAGUGAAGACAUGGAUCAUGGUGUGCUGGUGGUUGGCUACGGAUUUGAAAGCACAGAAUCAGAUAACAAUAAAUAUUGGCUGGUGAAGAACAGCUGGGGUGAAGAAUGGGGCAUGGGUGGCUACGUAAAGAUGGCCAAAGACCGGAGAAACCAUUGUGG